UGCCAUAUUCGAAAUAAUCAUGAGCACAUCUGGAAAUUUGUGUUCACAAUGUAAUAAUGUGGCUAUAAUAAAUAAGACAGGUUUUGCUUCCAUCACUAAAGAUUUAUUAGUGGUGACAAUGAGACCUGUAACAGCC